UCCCGCUUGACAAGCAAAUUGAGUCAGACCGCAGCACCCAGGUUGAGGUGAAGAAUUUGCAGCAAAUAGUAUUGUGCAUCCAGAUUAACUUUAGACCGAAGUUCAUAAGAGAAAUGAAAUAUCACCGACAAAAGUUCGCCGAAGUUCGGCGUCGGCAUUCUACCGAAGUGCUACGCCGACAAAGGCAAUCCUUAUGCAUCGGCAAAGCACCAAAUUGGAAUGCCGACGCCGAACUUCGCCGAAGUUUUGACUGCCGAACUUCUAAUUGUCACUCGAAUUGUCAAUAUCUGUCGGUGGGAGUUUAAACCAUUUUUGUUGUGGAAACCACAAUACGUAGCCUCAAAUUGUUGGAGGAGCAGGGAAGACUAUGGCGCCAGGAAUAUGAGAAAAAAGCAAGGCGAUUAGAAGAGGAAUACCAGCGAGAGUUGGCGGAAGCUAGAGAAGCCUUUAAGAAAGCUGCUGAACAAAUAGCGCUGGAGUUUGCUGCCAAAAGGAAUGAGCACGCAAAAAGGCUCGUUCGUCGCCGCAGUCGUCUAUGAUGAAGCAGCAGCUAGAUGUGCGCAGAACAAGAAUGAGAGGAAACGCGCGCGGGAACAAAUAGAGCAGACCAUGUGGAUCAUCAUCCCAGUUACCCGCCAUCAACGCGAC